rnacentral:rRNA from 1 species
AUUGAACGCUGGCGGCAUGCCUUACACAUGCAAGUCGAACGGCAGCACGGGAGCAAUCCUGGUGGCGAGUGGCGAACGGGUGAGUAAUAUAUCGGAACGUGCCCAGUCGUGGGGGAUAACGCAGCGAAAGCUGUGCUAAUACCGCAUACGAUCUCUGGAUGAAAGCGGGGGACUGCAAGGCCUUGCGCGAUUGGAGCGGCCGAUAUCAGAUUAGCUAGUUGGUGGGGUAAAAGCUUACCAAGGCGACGAUCUGUAGCUGGUCUGAGAGGACGACCAGCCACACUGGAACUGAGACACGGUCCAGACUCCUACGGGAGGCAGCAGUGGGGAAUUUUGGACAAUGGGCGCAAGCCUGAUCCAGCAAUGCCGCGUGCAGGAUGAAGGCCUUCGGGUUGUAAACUGCUUUUGUACGGAACGAAACGGCCCUUUCUAAUACAAAGGGCUAAUGACGGUACCGUAAGAAUAAGCACCGGCUAACUACGUGCCAGCAGCCGCCGUAAUAC